rnacentral:rRNA from 1 species
AGUGAACGCUGGCGGUAGGCCUAACACAUGCAAGUCGAACGGCAGCACAGUAAGAGCUUGCUCUUACGGGUGGCGAGUGGCGGACGGGUGAGGAAUACAUCGGAAUCUACUUUUUCGUGGGGGAUAACGUAGGGAAACUUACGCUAAUACCGCAUACGACCUACGGGUGAAAGCAGGGGAUCUUCGGACCUUGCGCGAUUGAAUGAGCCGAUGUCGGAUUAGCUAGUUGGCGGGGUAAAGGCCCACCAAGGCGACGAUCCGUAGCUGGUCUGAGAGGAUGAUCAGCCACACUGGAACUGAGACACGGUCCAGACUCCUACGGGAGGCAGCAGUGGGGAAUAUUGGACAAUGGGUGCAAGCCUGAUCCAGCCAUACCGCGUGGGUGAAGAAGGCCUUCGGGUUGUAAAGCCCUUUUGUUGGGAAAGAAAAGCAGCAGGUUAAUACCCCGCUGUUCUGACGGUACCCAAAGGAUAAGCACCGGCUAACUUCGUG